UACGUAGGGCGCGAGCGUUGUCCGGAAUUAUUGGGCGUAAAGAGCUCGUAGGUGGUUGGUCGCGUCUGCCGUGAAAACCCAUGGCUUAACUGUGGGCUUGCGGUGGAUACGGGCCGACUUGAGGUAGGUAGGGGAGAAUGGAAUUCCCGGUGUAGCGGUGAAAUGCGCAGAUAUCGGGAGGAACACCGGUGGCGAAGGCGGUUCUCUGGGCCUUACCUGACGCUGAGGAGCGAGAGCGUGGGGAGCGAACAGG
rnacentral:rRNA from 1 species